CCUCAACCCUACACAAAGAACUACAGGUAACCGGUAAAGGUGGGAGUGAGAGAGGCAUCCCUCCCCAGGGAAGAACUCGGCAACAAUUGUCCAGUGCCAAAAAGUCAGCCCUGACAACAUACAUACAAGAAACACUACAUGGACAAAAUGGUUAAAUUUAGGGAUAUAUAUACUUAUAUGCAUUCUAUAACAAUUGAUUAAAAAAAGAGGCCCAGAAUUUGAAGGAGAGAGAGCAGGGAUGUACCAGAGUGUUUAGAGGGAGAAAAGGAAAGGAAGAAAUGUAAUUAAACCACAAUCUCAAAAAUAAACCACUUGCAAUAAAAAGUGCAGUUAAUAGAAUGGCCACCAGAGGGUGGCAGAGGCAGCACUGCUGCUGAGCAAACGGACAGGCUGUGAGGAGUGGGUCCUCUCUGGUCCAUAAAUUCUCUCCCAAUUCUUCUCUCGGUUUCUUUACUUCGGCAGGAUACAAAGCACAAGUUAAAAAGAGUGGCGGAGUUACUUCUCAAACACACAGCUGAGGUUUGUAAAAGUCUGAUGACUCAGUGUUUAUUGAAUGUUCAUCUGUGAGGAGGUGUGGGUGAGAGGACUCCGUCUCCCUGAGGCGUAAGAGCAGAGGGGACAGAGGGCUGACGCAGUGUCCUGCACUCGGAGACAGGAAGCUGUACGGGGAUGGAAUGGAAGUCACUAUUGGUGAUCAGGCACCCUUCUCCAGCACCGCUGUGGGGUUUGUGCGUGAAUUCAAAGGGAAAUACUGACCCCUCAUAAGCUCUCAACUUCUCAAGCAUUUGGGCGUGCAUGUUCUUACUUAUUCAUUUAUCUUCAGGGGAUCAGUGUGCAGCGAGAGCUGGCAAACAACACAGAUUGGUGGGAUGCCCUCGCCUUACGCAGCCGCAGAUUAUCUACGGCUUGAGAGCCAACAAAGGUAAAAGCAAUCUUGAACAGAGGCCACGUUGUCAUUUCACCUGUCCUCCAGCUUGGACUUGAUGGCCCAGUGAUAGUAAUUUUAAAACGACAGAAUGUGGCAGGUGAAAAGUCUUGCACCCCGACAAGCCUCUCCACCGAUGCAGCAAUCCAAAUCAGACCAAAUCAAACCGAACUAGGAGAAGCCCACGUUUAAUGGAUACAACACUCCUGGAUGGCCUUCCAGUCCCCAGAGAGGAGAUAGGAAAGAGAAGUCAGAAAACCACACAUCUCUUUUCGGGGGGGGGGGGGAGUUUAAAUACCUGUGGGAGUGGUCUUGAGCCUGUCCGGGGCAGGGCUCAU
rnacentral:lncRNA from 1 species